GAUGAACGCUGGCGGCGUGCCUAAUACAUGCAAGUCGAGCGAACGGACGAGAAGCUUGCUUUUCUGAUGUUAGCGGCGGACGGGUGAGUAACACGUGGAUAACCUACCUAUAAGACUGGGAUAACUUCGGGAAACCGGAGCUAAUACCGGAUAAUAUUUUGAACCGCAUGGUUCAAAAGUGAAAGACGGUAUUGCUGUCACUUAUAGAUGGAUCCGCGCUGCAUUAGCUAGUUGGUAAGGUAACGGCUUACCAAGGCAACGAUGCAUAGCCGACCUAAGGGGGUGAUCGACCACACUGGAACUGAGACACGGUCCAGACUCCUACGGGGAGCAGCAGUAGGGAAUCUUCCGCGAUGGGCGAAAGCCUAACGGAGCAACGCCGCGUGAGUGAUGAAGGUCUUCGGAUCGGAAAACUCUGUUAUUAGGAAAGAACAUAUGUGUAAGUAACUGUGCACAUCUUGACGGUACCUAAUCAGAAAGCCACGGCUAACUACGUG
rnacentral:rRNA from 1 species